UACGGAGGGGGCAAGCGUUAUUCGGAAUUAUUGGGCGUAAAGGGCGCGUAGGCGGCUAGAUGUGUCAAAGGUGAAAUCCCUCGGCUCAACUGAGGAACUGCCUUUGAAACUGUCUGGCUUGAGGCCGGGAGAGGGUAGCGGAAUUCCCAGUGUAGCGGUGAAAUGCGUAGAGAUCGGGAAGAACAUCGGUGGCGAAAGCGCUCUACUGGACGGUGUCUGACACUCAGGGACGAAAGCUAGGGGAGCGAAUGGG
rnacentral:rRNA from 1 species